CUUUAACGUUUUUCUCAGUCAAACCUCAAAUGAGGGGAAAUCGGAUCGAAUUUAGAAAAAUCAUGAAUCAAUUAUGCAGCCAUUUUUCUUCUUCUCUCUAUGGAGCAAAGACAUGAAUCCUACCCAUCCCAAUUCGUCGAGUGUCCAUAAAGAGGGAGAACCCAUAGCCAUGGUUUUACAUCAGAGCUCAAUUUUCAUUUUUCUAAUUUGAAUGUGGAUCUUAAUCUAGAAAAGCACUACCCAAUUUCCCUCGCAACGAUGACUACUCGUCGUGGUCCUUGAUAAGAUUCCGCAAGGCUCUGAGACCCAAUUGACAAGUCUGCAACCUCCAAUUCAUCAAUGUUCAAUGCAAACACGUCAAACAAUGUAGGCGGUGACGAGUUGGGGGAGCUUCCUUUUUAUUAGGUGGAUUUGACAUUGCCCAUAAAUUUUUUCUUGUUUGCACAAGAUUAUUUGCUGUCUCAUUAAGUAUUUGAUUGACUUGAGUUUCUGCAUUUGUGUUGCUUUUAUUUAUGUUUGGUAAAUUCCUAGAUUUCCUUUUUUUUGAGCUAGCUACCUUACUGUUUUAUGAAUUCUAAUAAGAUCUUUUAUUGAUUUCUUGAUAUUUGUGAAGAAAGGCCUUCACUUCAUCUUUAAGAAGGAUUCUUCAUCUUUGUUACAACCAAGAAUACCACACCAAAAGUCAGAGAGUGAAGAUUAUAGCAUGUACUCAAGGGGGGCUUUCUUAAUUACAAGGUGAAGAUAAAGUAACUACCAUCCUCUUCUACCUUGCAUUAUCUUUCUUCUUCUCAAGUUUGAUGUAAAGCAGUCCACCUCAAUCUUCAAGUAAAAUGUUAAGCACACAUGAGAAAUCAACUUGAAGAAGAGUCUGCCUCUGCCACCAACACCUUGCAGCAAAGAGGCACCUGCCAAGGCUGGCAUGCAACUCCUGCAGAUGUAUAUUACAAUUACAAUGCCCUCACUCUCAAAUAGGAAAGGUAGUUUCUAAACUCAUAACUAUGCUGCAAGUAAUCUUACUAUUUUUUAUUCUAAGAUGAUUGGAUUCUGUUAUAUUAUCUACCAUAUAUGGACCACAUUCUAUUGUUUACAUUUCUGAAGUUAUACUCUGAUAUACUUUCAAUAAGUCACAACUUCACAUAAAUUAUUUGCAAAGCAAACUAUUCCUCAUUAUCAUUUGGCAGUAAAUUCAUGUGUUAUUAAACUUAUGGAGUAAGCAAGGUUAUUUGUAUUAGCUUUAAUCUUCAAAAAUUAAGCUGUAAUUAAAUGCCUUCUGCUUAAUAAUUGUAAUUUUUCUUGCAGUUACUUGGCAGCUCAAUGCAUUAUAAGAAGCAUCAAGUGGGAAGUAAAUAUUUGUUCAUGACCUUGUACUAAAGUUAUUGAAUUUUUUCUUUUCUUUUUGUGACAUUAGAUUUUAGGCAACUAAUUAAUGAAUGAAUUUUUUCUCUAA